UACGAAGGGUGCAAGCGUUACUCGGAAUUACUGGGCGUAAAGCGUGCGUAGGUGGUUUGUUAAGUCUGAUGUGAAAGCCCACGGCUCAACCGUGGAGGGUCAUUGGAAACUGGGGGGACUUGAGUGCAGGAGAGAAGAGUGGAAUUCCACGUGUAGCGGUGAAAUGCGUAGAGAUGUGGAGGAACACCAGUGGCGAAGGCGACUCUUUGGCCUGUAACUGACGCUUGAGGCGCGAAAGCGUGGGGGAGCGAACAGG
rnacentral:rRNA from 1 species